UUUCCCGUCGCGUGGAUGUGCUUCCUCUCUGGUCAAUGCCAUCCGCCCAAAUCUACAGACAUCCUGCAUAUUCCCGGGCUGUCUGCUGGUCUCCCCAAUACAGGGCGCCAAGUAUCCUACCAAGGCGAAUCCGUUGACCAGGGUCUAAGCUGAGGACGCUCCCAGGAUCCCGGGUGCAGCGUCCGGGUCCCCCUGCCCUGCCUUGCACUGCAGCCUCUUCCCUUGUCCUGCUAGGCUGUAGACUGCACAGCCCUCCUGGAGACCGAUGGAAGCUCCUUGGGUCGACAGCUUCUGCAGCAGCCGGAGCCCCCUACUCCCUUCAAGUCCGUGUUGAGCGUUCACGGUCCAGGGAGAGGAUGCCUGGACAUAAUAGCUUGGCUCUACAGUGGCCACGAGCGGUGUCUCCGUCCUGCUGGACUGAUGGACCACGGUGCUCCUGAGUGAGGGUUGUGCCCUGGGAUCUGGGGUGCAGUUUUUUCAGUUAGAGUUGGAAGUGUGUAAGGUGAGACGGUACACUCCAGAGCGCCGUGUCCUGAUGUGCCUUUGAGCACCCAGCACCGUGGGUCAUCAGACCUGUCUCCCAAGAGCUCUGGUCCCUUCUCUAGAGAAGAAGUGGAUCCACUGGCCGGGUGCUCAGGAGGCCAUAGCAGGAUUGUCAGUUGAUCUCUGCCACGUGUGCGCACCAGUUCUUGGCUUUCCAGAAGAAGUUGGAACAGGGCCCUUGAAGAUGAUUGUGGACACCAGAGGGCCAGGGAGCGGACAAGAAGACCAUGCUCAAAGUGAAACUGGAGACACCACCCCCUCAGCAUCAUGAAACAGCUUUUUACUUUAGUCAUUGGCUCAGACAUACCAAGUUUUGACACCAACACCUCAGAUGGCCAUGUUCUGUCCCUGUGACCAUCUGCCAGUGCCUGGAAUGACUAGAACUUGUUGCCAACUUCCUGUUACCUCCCUAACAGCUGUGCAAUAAACCUCAGGUUAAUUCAGUCUGCCUUUAAAA